UGGGGAAUAUUGGACAAUGGGCGAAAGCCUGAUCCAGCCAUGCCGCGUGUGUGAAGAAGGUCUUCGGAUUGUAAAGCACUUUAAGUUGGGAGGAAGGGCAGUAACCUAAUACGUUGCUGUCUUGACGUUACCGACAGAAUAAGCACCGGCUAACUCUGUGCCAGCAGCCGCGGUAAUACAGAGGGUGCAAGCGUUAAUCGGAAUUACUGGGCGUAAAGCGCGCGUAGGUGGUUAGUUAAGUUGGAUGUGAAAUCCCCGGGCUCAACCUGGGAACUGCAUUCAAAACUGACUGACUAGAGUAUGGUAGAGGGUGGUGGAAUUUCCUGUGUAGCAGUGAAAUGCGUUGAUAUCAUGAGGAACACCAAAGGCGAAGGCAUGUAAUUGGCACUCUCCUGACACUGAGCUGCGAAAGCGUGGGUAGCGAAUGGGAUUAGAUACCCCUGUAGUCCCUGAGCGGGCUGGCAAGGCGCAU
rnacentral:rRNA from 1 species